GGGGGCCGGGGGCCGGGUCGGGCGCCCGAGGUCCUGGGCCGGGGUUCCGUGGGUUCGACGCCCCUGGGCCUUUCAGUGGCGCGGGCCGACUGGCCGUGGCGCUCGGGUGCGCGCCGUGCACGCGGUGAGCUGGAGACGCAGGCAUUGCGCGGCCCACCAGCCGAGCCCGCUGUCCCUGCGAGGGGGGCGCAGCUCGGUGGAGAGGGUGGCCCGGAGGACCGGGAACCGGGCUGGGGGCGCGCGGGGCUCACACAGCGGGGUCCGCGGGGAGCCGGGCCUCGGGCUGCAGGUGCAGGCUCGUGGCGGUGAGGCGGCCUGGAGCGGCACGGGAGCCCGCCCGUUUCGGGGAGAGCCCGGGGCGAUCGCGGGGGGAGGCCGGCCUGGCGUCUGGGAGCCCGGCGUGCUAGGGCCCGGUAGGCGGGGCGGGCCUCGGACUCGGUUGCUCGCUGCGGCGCCGGAGGAACGGGUCUGUGGGGGUGUGGGUGAGGCCAGAAGUCGGGUCGAAGAGGGGGAGGGGGUGCGAAGAGAUGGCCGUGUGUAGACAGGUGACCCGGUGGGUCGGUGACGCAGGAGGAGAGUGCGCUUGGUGGCGGGAUGACUUAGUUGACAACAUUUAAAAAUUGGGAGGUGCGGCAGGGCGCGGUGGCUCACGCCUGUAAUCCUAGAACUUUGGGAGGUCGAGGCGGGUGGACCACCGGAGGUCAGGAGUUCGAGACCAGCCUGGCUAACCUGGUGAAACCCCGUCUCUAUUAAAAAUACUAAACAAUUAGCUGGGCGUGAUGGCGGGUGCCUGUAAUCCCAGCUACUCGGGAGGCUGAGGCGGGAGAAUCACUUGAACCCAGGAGGCGGAGGUUGCAGUGAGCCGGGAUUGCGCCAUUGCACUCCAGCCUGGGCGACAGAGUGAGACUCUGUCUCAAAAAAAAAAAAAAAAAAAAAAAGGGGAGGUGCUCAGUCAAGCCUCUGAGAGGAGGGGAGCGGGGGAGGAGUCCGUUGCUCAGAGCCCCCUAGGGACUGGGACCCGUUGACUCUGAGCUGCUUUUGAGGCUGGAUCACGUACCAGCGGCCUGGGGGUCGUACAGGAUGGGAGAGGCCGGGGCUUGGGAUGUUGCCAGAUCUACGUUGAAAAGUGAAGCAGGAAGCGAGGCACCAAGGCUGGGCACAUGGGGAAAACCGCGGAGAGCCGGCCUUUGGGGACAAGAAGAGUGGGAACAGUGGUUGACAAAUGGAAGGCGGCGUGGCGGCUCACACCUGUAAUCCCAGCACUUUGGGACACCGAGGCGGGUGGAUCACCUGAGGCCAAGAGUUCGAGACCAGCCUGGCCAACAUAGUGAAACAUCAUCUCUACUAGAAAUACAAAAAUCAGCUGGGCGUAGUGGUGGGUGCCUGUAAUUCCAGCUAUUCAGGAGACCAAGGCAGGAGAAUAACUUGAACCCAGGAGGCAGAGGUUGCAGUGAGCCGAGAUUGCUCCACUGCACUCCAGCCUGGGCAACAGAGCAAAAACUCCAUCUCAAAAAAAAAAAAAAAAAAAGGGGGGACACCAAUUCCCAGCACUCCAGGCCUAACUUCAUAGCACCCACAUCAUGUCAAGUGAGUAACCAAAAAUCAGUGUGCAUAUGUACACACCUAUACAUAUCUCAGGCUAAGUUUUCUGUAAGGGUUCUUUUUAUUGCAGAGACACUGCUUUUUUUCUGGUUUAUGAAAUACAGUGAACAUUUAUGGACACAAAGCUGAGGUGACAGGGUGGGGAGGGGAGCCUUGGAACAGCACCAAGAAUCCUGGUUGAACCCUCCAAGUGAAAAGAUCCUGCCACAACAUACGUGAACCAGGUGGGACACGUGAGCACGUCUCACCUGAUCCGGCCUGUGGUGGGGAGAAGCAAUUGAGGAAGGCCUCCUGGGCAGGAGGAAGCUGUUGCUGAGGCUGCUGAGCAGGAUGUGUUGGGCCUGUGACUUAAGCAGAAAGGGCACUCAGGCCCACAUGUUCAGAUGUGAGGACCUGCUUGCUGUGCUCAGGGAGCCACAAGUCACCUGGUCUUAGGGAAAGGUGAGGGGACUGGAGAAUUCUGAGGACCUUGAGGUAGAUUGGCCCUGCCAGGCAUGUAGGCUGGCUUUAGCUCACUGAUAUGCCUUGUUUAGCCCAGAGAGGUUUUCUUUUUUUAAUUGAUUACUUGAUUUAAGAAACAUUUAAAAAUUAGGAUGUGCUAUUUUGAAUGUUUAUCCUCUAUGAAACUCAUGUUCAAACUUAACCUCCAAUGUGGCAGUACUGAGAGGUGGGGCCUCUAAGGGUGGUUGGGAUUAAUCUGUCGAUGGAUUCAUGGAUUGAAGUGUUAUCACCGAAGUGGGACUGGUGGCUCCAUUAGAAGAGGAAGGAAGACCUGAGCUGGCCUGUGAGCAUGCUCAGCCCGCUGGCCAUGUGACACCUGCGCCACCCUCAGGACUCUGCAGAGUCCCCAGCAGCAAGAAGGCCCUCACCAGGUGCAGCCCCUCAACCUUGGACUUCUCAGCCCCCAGGGCUGUAACAAAUAAAUUCUUUUUUAAAGUAAA